GCCUCCUGUGCCUACUGAGCUGAUAACAGUACUACUGAAUGACUGGCUCAGUUCAGCAGGAACAGGAG
rfam:Salmo salar isolate Sally breed double haploid chromosome ssa24, whole genome shotgun sequence.